GAUGAACGCUGGCGGCGUGCCUAAUACAUGCAAGUCGAGCGGACGGACGCGAAGCUUGCUUCUCUGAUGUUAGCGGCGGACGGGUGAGUAACACGUGGAUAACCCCCUUAUAUGACUGGGAUAUCUUCGGGACACCGGCGCUAAUACCGGAUGAUCUCUUGAACCGCAUGGUUCAAAAGUGAAAGUCGGUCUUGCUGUCAGUUAUAGCUGGAUCCGAGCUGCAUUAGCUAGUUGGUAAGGUCACGGCCUAUCACGGCAAGCAUGCGUAGCCGAGCUGAGAGGGUGAUCGGCCACACUGGAACUGAGACGCGGUCCAGACUCCUACGGGAGGCAGCAGUAGGGAAUCUGCCGCAGUGGGCGAAAGCCUGACGGAGCGACGCCGCGUGAGUGAUGAAGGUCUUCGGAGCGUAAAACUCUGUUAUUAGGGAAAAACAUAUGUGUAAGGAACUGUGCACAGCUUGACGGUACCUAAUCAGAAAGCCACGGCUAACUACGUG
rnacentral:rRNA from 1 species